rnacentral:snRNA from 1 species
AUCGCUUCUCGGCCUUUUGGCUAAGAUCCAGUGUAGUAAUUCGAAAGACUUUUUAAAAAAUUUUUAUUUAAUUUUCUUUUCAAAAUUUAUUAUUUUAAAAAAUGUUCAAUGACUGGAUUUCAAGAAUGAGUCGCCAUUCUUAUAGAUGCAAGGCUGA